CCUGGCUCAGGACGAACGCUGGCGGCGCGCCUAACACAUGCAAGUCGAACGAGCGAGAGAGAGCUUGCUUUCUCGAGCGAGUGGCGAACGGGUGAGUAACGCGUGAGGAACCUGCCUCAAAGAGGGGGACAACAGUUGGAAACGACUGCUAAUACCGCAUAAGCCCACAGCUCGGCAUCGAGCAGAGGGAAAAGGAGCAAUCCGCUUUGAGAUGGCCUCGCGUCCGAUUAGCUAGUUGGUGAGGUAAUGGCCCACCAAGGCGACGAUCGGUAGCCGGACUGAGAGGUUGAACGGCCACAUUGGGACUGAGACACGGCCCAGACUCCUACGGGAGGCAGCAGUGGGGAAUAUUGCACAAUGGGGGAAACCCUGAUGCAGCGACGCCGCGUGGAGGAAGAAGGUCUUCGGAUUGUAAACUCCUGUUGUUGAGGAAGAUAAUGACGGUACUCAACAAGGAAGUGACGGCUAACUACGUGCCAGCAGCCGCGGUAAAACGUAGGUCACAAGCGUUGUCCGGAAUUACUGGGUGUAAAGGGAGCGCAGGCGGGAAGACAAGUUGGAAGUGAAAUCCAUGGGCUCAACCCAUGAACUGCUUUCAAAACUGUUUUUCUUGAGUAGUGCAGAGGUAGGCGGAAUUCCCGGUGUAGCGGUGGAAUGCGUAGAUAUCGGGAGGAACACCAGUGGCGAAGGCGGCCUACUGGGCACCAACUGACGCUGAGGCUCGAAAGUGUGGGUAGCAAACAGGAUUAGAUACCCUGGUAGUCCACACUGUAAACGAUGAUUACUAGGUGUUGGAGGAUUGACCCCUUCAGUGCCGCAGUUAACACAAUAAGUAAUCCACCUGGGGAGUACGACCGCAAGGUUGAAACUCAAAGGAAUUGACGGGGGCCCGCACAAGCAGUGGAGUAUGUGGUUUAAUUCGACGCAACGCGAAGAACCUUACCAAGUCUUGACAUCCCUUGACGAUGCUGGAAACAGUAUUUCUCUUCGGAGCAAGGAGACAGGUGGUGCAUGGUUGUCGUCAGCUCGUGUCGUGAGAUGUUGGGUUAAGUCCCGCAACGAGCGCAACCCUUAUGGUCAGUUACUACGCAAGAGGACUCUGGCCAGACUGCCGUUGACAAAACGGAGGAAGGUGGGGAUGACGUCAAAUCAUCAUGCCCUUUAUGACUUGGGCUACACACGUACUACAAUGGCGUUAAACAAAGAGAAGCAAGACCGCGAGGUGGAGCAAAACUCAGAAACAACGUCCCAGUUCGGACUGCAGGCUGCAACUCGCCUGCACGAAGUCGGAAUUGCUAGUAAUCGCAGAUCAGCAUGCUGCGGUGAAUACGUUCCCGGGCCUUGUACACACCGC
rnacentral:rRNA from 1 species